rnacentral:rRNA from 1 species
UAGGGAAUCUUCGGCAAUGGGGGGAACCCUGACCGAGCAACGCCGCGUGAGUGAAGAAGGUUUUCGGAUCGUAAAGCUCUGUUGUUAAGGAAGAACGAGUGUGAGAAUGGAAAGUUCAUGCUGUGACGGUACUUAACCAGAAAGGGACGGCUAACUACGUGCCAGCAGCCGCGGUAAUACGUAGGUCCCGAGCGUUGUCCGGAUUUAUUGGGCGUAAAGCGAGCGCAGGCGGUUAGAAAAGUCUGAAGUGAAAGGCAGUGGCUCAACCAUUGUAGGCUUUGGAAACUGUUUGACUUGAGUGCAGAAGGGGAGAGUGGAAUUCCAUGUGUAGCGGUGAAAUGCGUAGAUAUAUGGAGGAACACCGGUGGCGAAAGCGGCUCUCUGGUCUGUAACUGACGCGGAGGCUCGAAAGCGUGGGGAGCGAACAGG